AACGAACGCUGGCGGCAGGCCUAACACAUGCAAGUCGAGCGGACCUUUCGGGGUCAGCGGCGGACGGGUGAGUAACGCGUGGGAAUAUGCCCUUCUCUACGGAAUAGUCCUGGGAAACUGGGGGUAAUACCGUAUACGCCCUUUGGGGGAAAGAUUUAUCGGGGAAGGUUUAGCCCGCGUUGGAUUAGGUAGUUGGUGGGGUAAUGGCCUACCAAGCCGACGAUCCAUAGCUGGUUUGAGAGGAUGAUCAGCCACACUGGGACUGAGACACGGCCCAGACUCCUACGGGAGGCAGCAGUGGGGAAUCUUAGACAAUGGGGGCAACCCUGAUCUAGCCAUGCCGCGUGAGUGAUGAAGGCCUUAGGGUUGUAAAGCUCUUUCAGCUGGGAAGAUAAUGACGGUACCAGCAGAAGAAGCCCCGGCUAACUCCGUG
rnacentral:rRNA from 1 species